rnacentral:rRNA from 1 species
CCUACGGGAGGCAGCAGUGAGGAAUAUUGGUCAAUGGGCGGGAGCCUGAACCAGCCAAGCCGCGUGAGGGAAGAAGGUACAGCGUAUCGUAAACCUCUUUUGUCAGGGAACAAAGGCGGGGACUAGUCCCCGGAUGAGGGUACCUGAAGAAAAAGCAUCGGCUAACUCCGUUCCAGCAGCCGCGGUAAUACGGGGGAUGCGAGCGUUAUCCGGAUUUAUUGGGUUUAAAGGGUGCGCAGGCGGCCUGUUAAGUCAGCGGUAAAAGGCCGGGGCCCAACCCCGGCGCGCCGUUGAAACUGGGGGGCUGGAGUUGGAGAGAAGUACGCGGAAUGCGCGGUGUAGCGGUGAAAUGCUUAGAUAUCGCGCAGAACCCCGAUUGCGAAGGCAGCGUACUAAGCCAUAACUGACACUGAAGCACGAAAGCGUGGGGAUCGAACAGGAUUAGAUACCCUUGUAGUC